rnacentral:ncRNA from 1 species
GUCAUUGUCAAAGUGGAGGUAAUCAUUCAAUGAAGGUUUACUGAGGAUGAUUUUGCUGAAACCUACACACUAAACACCGCAUCACUUUAGCUUCGUUAAGUUAAUAGCUGAUGCAAUUUUUGCAAGCUCAGAAGGGC